UUUGUCCAGAAUCCAGAAGGCUGGUAAUUAAGUGUCGCAUGCCCUCCCCUCUGCUUCUCACUGGUCCUGAGUGUGUCCUGGAAUAACAUGUGGGCUGUGCUAUCCGGUGUUGUGUGUGUCACAGAUGCAAUUCAAAAUCCUAAGCCUGGAAGGUGAAGCCUACAGGUGUGGCAACGACCUUGCAGCCAUGACAUGGCUGUCUGAGGACACCAAAGAACACCAGAGAAGAAAGAAAGAGCUGGAGCGCCCCUGCCGCCAUGGCUGAGAACUUUGUGCAAUACAGCAGCUGCGCAUCUCCAGGCUUCUUGUAAGGUGGAAAAACCAACUUCAUUUAUCCAUGCUUACGCUGCUAGCUAUCAGGUUCUCCGUAACUUGCAGCAGAAAGCAAUUUUCACUGACUGAUACAAUGGGCAAUUACUUUUAAAAUUAGGAUGCUUAAGACUUACAAACACUAACUGGAAAUAAACAAGAAGACUUGAACUUGAAAUGAGAGUUGCCUUAUUGUUUGUGUCCUUACAUUAGUAAAAUAUCUAAAAGUAGACUCAGGAAACACAUUAAAAUACUAAUUAACUUACAAUUACUGUCUAGGAUUAUUAGAUUUUAUCAUCUUAUUGAUAAUUUUCUGAAUGCAAAAAAGCAUUAAUAAUGCUCAAAUGUAAAGUGUCACAUAUUUCCAAAUACUGCAAUAAAUACAGAUCCUUUGUUUUAACCACCAUUAACACCGUUUAAUCCCUUAAUGUGUACAGGUCAAAAUUUUAAUAUUUCUGAGUGCUCCAUGAAUAGAAAAAAAUUGAUAAUCCCUGGAAUACAUGACCCUGUGCAGACGGAGAUCUUGAGUUGAGAUCACACCAUUUCACUCCAGCCUGGGCAACAGAGUGAGACUCCAUCUAAAAAAAAAAUUAAUAAAAAAAAAAACCCACUUCACUCUUAAAGAUUUUCUGCAUCUUGACCAUAUCAAUGUCAAUUGACUGUAUCAAUGUCAAUAUCCUGGUUGUGAUAUUGUACUGUAGUUUUUUAAGAUGUUACCAUUAGGGGAAACUGGGUAAGCGAUGCAUGGCAUCUCUCUGUAUUAUUUCUUACAACUGCAUGUGAAUCUGCAAUUAUCUCAAAAUAAGAAGUUUAAUUAAAAACUUAAAAAACAAUGCUGCUGGAAAAGUAAAAUGGUGUAACCAUGUAGAACAUAGUUUGAUGGUUCCUCAAAAAGCUAGACAGAAUUACCAUAUGAUUCAGCAAUCCCACUCUUAGGUAUACACCCCCAAAAAAACUGAAAAGAGAAAUCUGAACAUACAUCUGUGUAGUGUGGGGAAAAGAAGCAAAUUUUUAAAAAAUAAAAAGAAGGAAUUUGAACAGACGCCUGUAGGACAAUGUUCACUGCAGCAUAAUCACAAUGGCCAAAAGGUGGAAACAACCCAAGUGUCCGUGGAUAGAUGAGUGGAGAAGCAAAUGUGGUAUAUACAUGAAAUGUUACUUAGUCAUAGAAAGGAAUAAAGUUCUGAUAUAUGCUAUAACAUGAAUGCACUUUAAAAACACUACGCUAAGGAAAAUAAACCAAAAGGACACCAAAGGACAAAUAUUAUGUGAUUC
rnacentral:lncRNA from 1 species